rnacentral:lncRNA from 1 species
UUUAAUUGAGCAGCACCCGGACUAUUUUUUUUCGAAUUCUUUUCAUUCUUUCUGCUAAUAGGGGGUUUAUCCAUCAAGCCCUUGCCCCUGGGACUUGAUUUUGGAGAUGUCUCGUGUUCCAAUUGCAGGUGAGGAGAUUUUCUUCCAGACGGACGUUUUGAGCUACCAGGUUGGCUAUUUUCAGCUUUCUCCUUCUUAUCUGCAGACGGUGAAUGAUUCAUGGAAUCAACAGGAAAAUCAUGUUCAUGCUUCUCAGCAAUAUCUUCUUCCUCCUUUAUUAUCUCUACCUCCCUCAUCUCUCCUCCUACAAGAUGAUUCAGUUCAGAAUCAAUCCUUGAUUCCUCACCAUCAGAACCAAAGCUACGCCUUGAAGGUGACUG